UUGAACGCUGGCGGCAUGCCUUACACAUGCAAGUCGCACGGCAGCACGGGUGCUUGCACCUGGUGGCGAGUGGCGAACGGGUGAGUAAUACAUCGGAACAUGUCCUGUAGUGGGGGAUAGCCCGGCGAAAGCCGGAUUAAUACCGCAUACGAUCUACGGAUGAACUCGGGGGACCUUCGGGCCUCGCGCUAUAGGGUUGGCCGAUGGCUGAUUAGCUAGUUGGUGGGGUAAAGGCCUACCAAGGCGACGAUCAGUAGCUGGUCUGAGAGGACGACCAGCCACACUGGGACUGAGACACGGCCCAGACUCCUACGGGAGGCAGCAGUGGGGAAUUUUGGACAAUGGGCGAAAGCCUGAUCCAGCAAUGCCGCGUGUGUGAAGAAGGUCUUCGGGUUGUAAAGCACUUUUGGCCGGAAAGAAAUCCUUGGCGCUAAUACGGUCGUGUGAUGACGGUACCGGAAGAAUAAGCACCGGCUAACUACGUG
rnacentral:rRNA from 1 species